CAGGAAAAGCCUCUAAGCAUCAGGUAACAUCAAAUCGUACCCCAAACCGACACAGGUGGUCAGGUAGAGAAUACCAAGGCGCUUGAGAGAACUCGGGUGAAGGAACUAGGCAAAAUGGUGCCGUAACUUCGGGAGAAGGCACGCUGAUAUGUAGGUGAAGUCCCUCGCGGAUGGAGCUGAAAUCAGUCGAAGAUACCAGCUGGCUGCAACUGUUUAUUAAAAACACAGCACUGUGCAAACACGAAAGUGGACGUAUACGGUGUGACGCCUGCCCGGUGCCGGAAGGUUAAUUGAUGGGGUCAGCGCAAGCGAAGCUCUUGAUCGAAGCCCCGGUAAACGGCGGCCGUAACUAUAACGGUCCUAAGGUAGCGAAAUUCCUUGUCGGGUAAGUUCCGACCUGCACGAAUGGCGUAAUGAUGGCCAGGCUGUCUCCACCCGAGACUCAGUGAAAUUGAACUCGCUGUGAAGAUGCAGUGUACCCGCGGCAAGACGGAAAGACCCCGUGAACCUUUACUAUAGCUUGACACUGAACAUUGAGCCUUGAUGUGUAGGAUAGGUGGGAGGCUUUGAAGUGUGGACGCCAGUCUGCAUGGAGCCGACCUUGAAAUACCACCCUUUAAUGUUUGAUGUUCUAACGUGGACCCGUGAUCCGGGUUGCGGACAGUGUCUGGUGGGUAGUUUGACUGGGGCGGUCUCCUCCUAAAGAGUAACGGAGGAGCACGAAGGUUGGCUAAUCCUGGUCGGACAUCAGGAGGUUAGUGCAAUGGCAUAAGCCAGCUUGACUGCGAGCGUGACGGCGCGAGCAGGUGCGAAAGCAGGUCAUAGUGAUCCGGUGGUUCUGAAUGGAAGGGCCAUCGCUCAACGGAUAAAAGGUACUCCGGGGAUAACAGGCUGAUACCGCCCAAGAGUUCAUAUCGACGGCGGUGUUUGGCACCUCGAUGUCGGCUCAUCACAUCCUGGGGCUGAAGUAGGUCCCAAGGGUAUGGCUGUUCGCCAUUUAAAGUGGUACGCGAGCUGGGUUUAGAACGUCGUGAGACAGUUCGGUCCCUAUCUGCCGUGGGCGCUGGAGAACUGAGGGGGGCUGCUCCUAGUACGAGAGGACCGGAGUGGACGCAUCACUGGUGUUCGGGUUGUCAUGCCAAUGGCACUGCCCGGUAGCUAAAUGCGGAAGAGAUAAGUGCUGAAAGCAUCUAAGCACGAAACUUGCCCCGAGAUGAGUUCUCCCUGACCCUUUAAGGGUCCUGAAGGAACGUUGAAGACGACGACGUUGAUAGGCCGGGUGUGUAAGCGCAGCGAUGCGUUGAGCUAACCGGUACUAAUGAACCGUGAGGCUUAACCUUACAACGCCGAAGGUGUUU
rnacentral:rRNA from 1 species